GUCGAACGGGCACUUCGGUGCUAGUGGCAGACGGGUGAGUAACACGUGGGAACGUACCUUUCGGUUCGGAAUAAUACAGGGAAACUUGUACUAAUACCGGAUACGCCCUUCGGGGGAAAGAUUUAUCGCCGAUAGAUCGGCCCGCGUCUGAUUAGCUAGUUGGUGAGGUAACGGCUCACCAAGGCGACGAUCAGUAGCUGGUCUGAGAGGAUGAUCAGCCACACUGGGACUGAGACACGGCCCAGACUCCUACGGGAGGCAGCAGUGGGGAAUAUUGGACAAUGGGCGAAAGCCUGAUCCAGCCAUGCCGCGUGUGUGAUGAAGGCCUUAGGGUUGUAAAGCACUUUUGUCCGGGAAGAUAAUGACU
rnacentral:rRNA from 1 species